AACGAACGCUGGCGGCAUGCCUAACACAUGCAAGUCGAACGAGAUCUUCGGGUCUAGUGGCGCACGGGUGCGUAACGCGUGGGAAUCUGCCCUUUGGUUCGGAAUAACAGUUGGAGACGACUGCUAAUACCGGAUGAUGACGAAAGUCCAAAGAUUUAUCGCCAGAGGAUGAGCCCGCGUAGGAUUAGCUAGUUGGUGUGGUAAAGGCGCACCAAGGCGACGAUCCUUAGCUGGUCUGAGAGGAUGAUCAGCCACACUGGGACUGAGACACGGGCCAGACUCCUACGGGUGGCAGCAGUGGGGAAUAUUGGACAAUGGGCGAAAGCCUGAUCCAGCAAUGCCGCGUGAGUGAUGAGGGCCUUAGGGUUGUAAAGCUCUUUUACCCGGGAUGAUAAUGACAGUACCGGGAGAAUAAGCUCCGGCUAACUCCGUGCCAGCCGCCGCCGUAA
rnacentral:rRNA from 1 species